CCUACGGGUGGCAGCAGUGAGGAAUAUUGGGCAAUGGACGCAAGUCUGAACCAGCCAUGCCGCGUGCAGGAAGACGGCCCUAUGAGUUGUAAACUGCUUUUGUACGAGGGUAAACGCAGAUACGUGUAUCUGUCUGAAAGUAUCGUACGAAUAAGGCUCGGCUAACUCCGUGCCAGCAGCCGCGGUAAUACGGAGGAUUCAAGCGUUAUCCGGAUUUAUUGGGUUUAAAGGGUGCGUAGGCGGUCGGAUAAGUUAGAGGUGAAAUCCCGGGGCUCAACUUCGGAAUUGCCUCUGAUACUGUGCGGCUAGAGAGUAGGUGCGGUAGGCGGAAUGUAUGGUGUAGCGGUGAAAUGCUUAGAGAUCAUAAAGAACACCGAUUGCGAAGGCAGCUUACCAAGCUACUUCUGACGUUGAGGCACGAAAGCGUGGGGAGCAAACAGGAUUAGAUACCCCUGUAGUC
rnacentral:rRNA from 1 species